rnacentral:rRNA from 1 species
GAUGAACGCUGGCGGCGUGCCUAAUACAUGCAAGUCGAGCGAACAGACGAGGAGCUUGCUCCUCUGACGUUAGCGGCGGACGGGUGAGUAACACGUGGAUAACCUACCUAUAAGACUGGGAUAACUUCGGGAAACCGGAGCUAAUACCGGAUAAUAUAUUGAACCGCAUGGUUCAAUAGUGAAAGACGGUUUUGCUGUCACUUAUAGAUGGAUCCGCGCCGCAUUAGCUAGUUGGUAAGGUAACGGCUUACCAAGGCAACGAUGCGUAGCCGACCUGAGAGGGUGAUCGGCCACACGGGAACUGAGACACGGUCCAGCCUCCUACGGGAGGCAGCAGUAGGGAAUCUUCCGCAAUGGGCGAAAGCCUGACGGAGCAACGCCGCGUGAGUGAUGAAGGUCUUCGGAUCGUAAAACUCUGUUAUUAGGGAAGAACAAAUGUGUAAGUAACUAUGCACGUCUUGACGGUACCUAAUCAGAAAGCCACGGCUAACUACGUG